AAGAGUUUGAUCAUGGCUCAGAUUGAACGCUGGCGGCAGGCCUAACACAUGCAAGUCGAACGGUAACAGGAAGCAGCUUGCUGCUUUGCUGACGAGUGGCGGACGGGUGAGUAAUGUCUGGGAAACUGCCUGAUGGAGGGGGAUAACUACUGGAAACGGUGGCUAAUACCGCAUAACGUCGCAAGACCAAAGAGGGGGACCUUCGGGCCUCUUGCCAUCAGAUGUGCCCAGAUGGGAUUAGCUUGUUGGUGAGGUAACGGCUCACCAAGGCGACGAUCCCUAGCUGGUCUGAGAGGAUGACCAGCCACACUGGAACUGAGACACGGUCCAGACUCCUACGGGAGGCAGCAGUGGGGAAUAUUGCACAAUGGGCGCAAGCCUGAUGCAGCCAUGCCGCGUGUAUGAAGAAGGCCUUCGGGUUGUAAAGUACUUUCAGCGGGGAGGAAGGUGUUGUGGUUAAUAACCACAGCAAUUGACGUUACCCGCAGAAGAAGCACCGGCUAACUCCGUGCCAGCAGCCGCGGUAAUACGGAGGGUGCAAGCGUUAAUCGGAAUUACUGGGCGUAAAGCGCACGCAGGCGGUCUGUCAAGUCGGAUGUGAAAUCCCCGGGCUCAACCUGGGAACUGCAUUCGAAACUGGCAGGCUUGAGUCUUGUAGAGGGGGGUAGAAUUCCAGGUGUAGCGGUGAAAUGCGUAGAGAUCUGGAGGAAUACCGGUGGCGAAGGCGGCCCCCUGGACAAAGACUGACGCUCAGGUGCGAAAGCGUGGGGAGCAAACAGGAUUAGAUACCCUGGUAGUCCACGCCGUAAACGAUGUCUACUUGGAGGUUGUGCCCUUGAGGCGUGGCUUCCGGAGCUAACGCGUUAAGUAGACCGCCUGGGGAGUACGGCCGCAAGGUUAAAACUCAAAUGAAUUGACGGGGGCCCGCACAAGCGGUGGAGCAUGUGGUUUAAUUCGAUGCAACGCGAAGAACC
rnacentral:rRNA from 4 species